GUGCUCACUUUGGCAGCACAUAUACUCAAAUUGGAAUGAUCCAGAGAAGAUUAGCACAGCCCCUAUGAAGGGAUGACACGCAAGUAUGCGUAGUAUUCCAUAUUAUU